UACGGAGGAUCCGAGCGUUAUCCGGAUUUAUUGGGUUUAAAGGGUGCGCAGGCGGAAUAUUAAGUCGGCGGUGAAAGUUUGCAGCUUAACUGUAAAAUUGCCGUUGAUACUGGUAUUCUUGAGUGUAUAUGAAGUAGGCGGAAUUUGUAGUGUAGCGGUGAAAUGCAUAGAUAUUACAAGGAACUCCGAUUGCGAAGGCAGCUUACUAAAAUACAACUGACGCUUAGGCACGAAGGCGUGGGGAUCAAACAGGAUUAGAUACCCGGGUAGUCCCUGA
rnacentral:rRNA from 1 species